ACCAAACGCAUCCUUUCUCUUAUAUAUAUCUCUCUCUUUUCCUUUCUCAGCUUAACCCUAAGCGCCGCAGGCCAUCUUUUUCGCAUGUCUCGCCAUUAAUGGUAACAACACAGAGGUGCAAACCUCCUUUGACUGUUGCACAACCAUUUUUGUGUAACAAUUCAGAAAAAUCGCAUCAAGAUAUUGGAGAGCCCGAGACUUGAGUCGGGAUUUGUUUGGCGAGUGAUCGAGAUUGGUAGUGAGCGAUCGAGGUACGGACGCUCGUUUUGGUGAUUCUCCGGUAUAGGAUACAUAUUCUGCCACUUGGAGUACUCCUUUUGAUCCAGAGCUCAUAUUUUUGGUACAUAUCUUCUGUUAUGCAUACUCUGUAUAUAUACGACUAUUUGGGUACGGCGGGGCCCUGUCCCGUCAUAUGUUUUGUUAUGUUUUGUAGAGGCCUGUAGUCAUAUAUGUGGGUCAUGGGUCAUGUUUGUUCGUUGUGAUUAUGAUCUGCGUCUUAAUGCGGCCCCGUUUACUAUUAUGGCUAAAACGGUCCAUUUGUCUGUAUAUGUGUAUAUAUCUGGCGAUGUGUAUUCCGCCAAUCUAUUGGAUUUGGAUAUGAUGUUUCUAUACGGGCGACCGCUUAAGAUGAUAUUUGCUUUCAGUACUUGCUUAA